AUUGAACGCUGGCGGCAUGCCUUACACAUGCAAGUCGAACGGUAACGGGCCUUCGGGUGCCGACGAGUGGCGAACGGGUGAGUAAUACAUCGGAACGUGCCCGAUCGUGGGGGAUAACGAGGCGAAAGCUUUGCUAAUACCGCAUACGAUCUACGGAUGAAAGCAGGGGACCGCAAGGCCUUGCGCGGACGGAGCGGCCGAUGGCAGAUUAGGUAGUUGGUGGGAUAAAAGCUUACCAAGCCGACGAUCUGUAGCUGGUCUGAGAGGAUGAUCAGCCACACUGGGACUGAGACACGGCCCAGACUCCUACGGGAGGCAGCAGUGGGGAAUUUUGGACAAUGGGCGCAAGCCUGAUCCAGCCAUGCCGCGUGCAGGAUGAAGGCCUUCGGGUUGUAAACUGCUUUUGUACGGAACGAAAAGCCUUCUUUUAAUACAGGAGGGUCAUGACGGUACCGUAAGAAUAAGCCCCGGCUAACUACGUG
rnacentral:rRNA from 1 species